rnacentral:rRNA from 1 species
UAUGAUCCAGAGUACCACGGGACACGUGAAACCCUGUGGGAAGCAGGAGGGACCACCCUCCAAGGCUAAAUACUACCUAGUGACCGAUAGCGUAUAGUACCGUGAGGGAAAGGUGAAAAGAACCCCGGGAGGGGAGUGAAAUAGAACCUGAAACCCUGCACUUACAAGCUGUGGAAGCACAUUUCUUGUGUGACCGCGUACUUUUUGUAGAACGGGCCAACGAGUUACGUUAAGUAGCAAGGUUAAGCACUUAAGGUGCGGAGCCGUAGCGAAAGCGAGUUUUAACUGAGCGUUCAGUUACUUGACGUAGACCCGAAACCGGGCGACCUACCCAUGAGCAGGAUGAAGCGAAAGUAAAAUUUCGUGGAGGUCCGAACCCACGAGCGUUGAAAAGCUCGGGGAUGACUUGUGGGUAGCGGUGAAAUUCCAAUCGAGCCCGGAGAUAGCUGGUUCUCCCCGAAAUAGCUUUAGGGCUAGCCUCAAGGUGAGAGAUACGGAGGUAGAGCACUGAAUGUCCUAGGGGGUAUUGCACCUACCGAAGACUAUCAAACUCCGAAUGCCGUCAUCUUAUACUUGGGAGUCAGACUGUGGGUGAUAAGAUUCAUAGUCGAAAGGGCAACAGCCCAGAUCGUCAGCUAAGGUCCCUAAAUGUAAGUUAAGUGGUAAAGGAUGUGGGAUUGCACAGACAACCAGGAUGUUGGCUUAGAAGCAGCCACUCAUUCAAAGAGUGCGUAAUAGCUCACUGGUCGAGUGAUCCUGCGCCGAAGAUUUCCGGGGCUAAAACUUACUACCGAAGCUACGGCAUCAGUAAUGAUGGGUAGGGGAGCUUCCCAUACGGGUUGAAGCAUGACCGUAAGGACAUGUGGACAGUAUGGGAGUGAGAAUGUUGGCAUGAGUAGCGAGAUGUGGGUGAGAAUCCCACAGGCCGUAAACCCAAGGUUUCCAGGGGAAGGUUCGUCCGCCCUGGGUUAGUCGGGACCUAAGCUGAGGCCGAAAGGCGUAGGUGAUGGACAACAGGUUGAUAUUCCUGUACUACCGAUAACCGUUUGAGAGAAGGGAUGACACAGUAGGAUAAGCUAAGCACACUGUUGGUUAUGUGUGCCCAAGCAUUGAGGCAGUCAAAGUAGGCAAAUCCGCUUUGAUAAUGCUGGGAUGUGAUGGGGAGCGAAAUUUAGUAGCGAAGUAGCUGAUUUCACACUGUCAAGAAAAGUCUCUAUCGAGGUUAAAGGUACCCGUACCGCAAACCGACACAGGUGGGUGAGGAGAGUAUCCUAAGGCCAGCGAGAGAACUGUUGUUAAGGAACUCGGCAAAAUGACCCCGUAACUUAGGGAUAAGGGGUGCCACCAUCAGGUGGCCGCAGAGAAUAGGCCCAAGCGACUGUUUACCAAAAACAUAGGUUUCUGCUAAGUCGCAAGACGAUGUAUAGGAGCUGACGCCUGCCCGGUGCUGGAAGGUUAAGGGGAUCUGUUAGAGCAAUCGAAGCAGUGAACUUAAGCCCCAGUAAACGGCGGCCGUAACUAUAACGGUCCUAAGGUAGCGAAAUUCCUUGUCGGGUAAGUUCCGACCCGCACGAAAGGCGUAACGAUUUGGGCACUGUCUCAACAACAGACUCGGUGAAAUUGUAAUUCCGGUGAAGAUGCCGGAUACCUGCGACAGGACGGAAAGACCCCAUGGAGCUUUACUGUAGCUUGACAUUGGGUCUUGGUACUACAUGUACAGGAUAGGUGGGAGGCUUUGAAACCAGGACGCCAGUUUUGGCGGAGCCAUCCUUGGGAUACCACCCUUGUAGUACUGGGACUCUAACCAUAGGCCAUGAAUCUGGUCUUGGGACACUGUCAGGUGGGCAGUUUGACUGGGGCGGUCGCCUCCCAAAAGGUAACGGAGGCGCUCAAAGGUUCUCUCAGUACGGUCGGAAAUCGUACGUAGAGUGUAAAGGCAAAAGAGAGCUUGAUUGCAAGACAUACAGGUCGAGCAAGGAUGAAAAUCGGACUUAGUGAUCCGGUGGUUCUGCGUGGAAGGGCCAUCGCUCAACGGAUAAAAGCUACCCUGGGGAUAACAGGCUUAUCUCCCCCAAGAGUCCACAUCGACGGGGAGGUUUGGCACCUCGAUGUCGGCUCAUCACAUCCUGGGGCUGUAGUAGGUCCCAAGGGUUGGGCUGUUCGCCCAUUAAAGUGGUACGCGAGCUGGGUUCAGAACGUCGUGAGACAGUUCGGUCCCUAUCCGUCGCAGGCGUAGGAAAUUUGAGAAGACCUGUCCUUAGUACGAGAGGACCGGGAUGGACGUACCUCUGGUGUACCAGUUGUCCUGCCAAGGGCAUGGCUGGGUAGCUAUGUACGGAAUGGAUAAGCGCUGAAAGCAUCUAAGCGCGAAGCCAACUUCAAGAUAAGAUUUCCCACCGCAAGGGUAAGACCCCAGAAAGACUAUCUGGUUGAUAGGUCGAAGGUGUAAGUGCAGCAAUGUAUUUAGCUUAUCGAUACUAAUAGGUCGAGGACUUGACCAAU